ACUUUCUCUUCUACAAGAUAGAAGGAAUAGUAGGAAGUAGUUAUGGUUUUAGUAUUUAUUUACUGCUUUCUCUUGAAAUUACAUUCUCUGAUCUUAGUAGCACACUAUAAAUAUGAUUAUCUCCCCAAUUCACAAUAACUGAAUACUACUUCUCUGUGUUUUACUGUUAUAAUAAACACAAGAUCUCUAUUCUCUAUUGUCCUUUAUGUUCACUUAACAAACUUUGCCUGGAAAGCUCAUUCAUGCUACUGUCUUCAAUGGUCACCAAUAGAAUUAUGCCAUAGAACUAUUUGCUCUGCUCUAGACCCCUUCCAAAGUUCUGGAUGUGUGGGUCCAUCUAUUUAAACGGCAUCCUGACACUGAGGCAUAAAAUUACCGAAAACUGAUUACUGAGGAGCACUCUCAAGAGAAAACCUGGUUAAAUGUGCAUCUUGCUCAGUGCUCUUCCCCUCUUGCAGGAGUGAUUGCCUCUCCAGUUUCUGUUUGCUUUUAUUCUCCAGUGCCUUUAAGAAGGUAUCAACAUUAUCAUUAUAAUUACAGUUUAUCAUUGGUAUUAGUGGAAGGUUAAUCUGGCAUCAUGUUUUCUUUCAUUAUCAGAACUAUGUCUAUUCUGAAUGAAAUUAAAUGCUCAAAAUAUAUUCAAAUUUAUCUCUGUAGUUCACUAUCUAAAACAUUGUGAAACUGACCCUGAGCACAAUACAUGUACUAUAUAGGGAACAGUUUCCUGAGUAAAGAAAGCCCUUUCUUUUUACAACAGUAUAUUUAAUUAAAUAGGGCAAUAAACAUACAUAAUUGCUGGAGACAAAUUAUUUUCCAAAUUACAUUCCUGAGCUCAUAACUCACUUUGAGUGAAAAAAGUUGAACAAUAUAAAUGUCAAUGUGCAUAUUUGAUAGAUUUGUAAAGAAAAGAGAAAAAUGGAUGUGACUGUUUCUCAGACUUUUCUUUUUUCUGUAGACAAAUUGGCUGGAACAGACUUCCUUUGUUUUUGAUGACCUGAAAACUUUGGAGAACUGAUCAGUUGGGGUUUUUCUAUGUUGCCUGGAAUGGACUCACACUGUUAGGCUCAAGCUAUCCUCCUGCCUCAGACUCCCUAAUAGCUGGACCUCCAGGUAAACACCACAACACCUGGCUCUAUUUUAACUUUAAACUUAAAAAUAAAUACAAAAUUUUUAAAAAGAGUGAGAAAACCAUGGUAAACAUAGCUGUUUUUUAACACACAUGCACAAAUAUAUAUAUACUUUAUAUAUAACAACUGUUAUAAAUAUCUUUCAAAAUACAUAAAUAUAUAAUCUGCUCAUGUAAAUUUUAAUGUUUAUAUAUUAAUUUUAAUGGUUUUAUAUAUAUAAACUUUAUAUAUAUAAUUUUAACAUAAUGCUUGGUAUAUUUAAAUGAACAUAACUAAAUAGUGAAACUUAGGCUAAUUUCUUUUAACUAUUCAGUUAUGUAUCUACUCUCUCAGUAACCUCACAUGAAUAUCUAAAAGGUAUCUGUAAGUUAAUAUAGCCAAAACUGAAACCCCAGACAUGGCCUCCCCAACCCUUCCUUAUUUCAAUAAAAAGCAUCAUCAUUUAUAUAUUUGCUAAAGCCAAAGUAUAGGAGAUAGUCUUCUUUUUUUUCUUAUUUCCUCCCAACUUCAGCAAACUAACCUCAAAUUCCAAACAAGUAUCAAAUUCACCCACAAAACGUAUCCCUGAAUUUAUUAUACUUCAGCUCCUUUAAUGAUUUUCAAACCAUCAUCAUUUCACCCUAGUUUUGCCACCAUAAUUCUAUUAUAUAGUCAUUAUUAUUAUUAUUAUUUUUAGUUUACUAAAGACGCCACAGAACAGAUCUCUUUACUGUCAAUCCAUACUCCACAGGAAAGUCUGAGUGAUAUUUUGAAAAGAAAAAAGUUAUGAAAAUCACCUACUUAAGAAUCUCUAGUGGUUUUUCUUAGUGUUUAAAAUACAAUCCAAAUAUUUUAUGUGUGGAAAUCUCUACCAGAUCUGUCCCCUCCCUACCUUCUUAGUGUCAGCUCAUAUCACAAGAACACUGAUCAUUUAACUGUUCCUCAGACAAGUAAAGCCUUCUUAAAUUGGAGGUUCUUUGCAAGAGAUUUGGAUAUGUCUUAAACUUAUUCUUCUUGUUCUUCAAAAAACUGUUUUUCUUUUGGCACUUAGUCCAAGGGUAAAUGAUACCUCUUUUUGUUGAGCUUUGCUUGAACUGACCAUGUAAAGAAAUCAAUCUGAGUUUGGAUUCUCUGCCUGGCAUUUUUCAUACUGGGUUAAUGGUUUGUGGUCUGUUCUUUGCCUACUGGCCCUAGAAUGCCAACUCAAUGGACAAUAGUAAAUAAUAAAUCAAUAAAUCUUGAAUAAAUAAGAGGUAAAAGGAGAAACUAAUACAUUCUUGGCUUGUUCUAUCAAUUUUAGUCAGUUGAAGGCUAGAGUGUCUGCUGCUUCUUACAGCACUCAGUAAAAUAUUUUGUACAGAUUUAGUAAUCAAUGAAUAUUUUUGAUUAAAGUAAAAUAUUCCACUUCUCUUUUUUCCCUGGGGAAGGAAUUUUAGAGUAGCAGUUUUCUUACACCAUGUAACAGGUGUGUUGUUUCUAAUUUUACUGUGUGCAUUGCUGAAUUGAGAACAGGUGUGCUGUUUCAGACAGUUCUCCAGUUGUAUCUUUAGUAGUAAAAUAAAUACAAUGAAUAUUUUAUAGUAUGUAAAAAUAGUUUUAUGUUAAGUGACAUAUGAAUAUAUCUACAGUGAUUUAGAGACAUUAUGAAUCAUUUCACUUCAGUCUCAUGUUCUAAAUUAAAUCCAGCAGUUGCAGCUGCUACCUCAAGAAUAAUUAAGAAAGAUGGAGGAAAAUAAGAUUAUUUGGUUAGCAAAAAGUCAUAGAAUUUUAGAGCUAGAAGGAAAUUUAGAGAUUGCUGAUUUGUAAUUUCUUAUAUUAAUUAAUUGCAAGCAAAAAAUGUUACCAGCUUAGCCAAUUUCUUACAAAUAUGUUUAAUACAUUAUUAUCAGUCUUGAUAUAGACUUCUAAAAAUUCUGUCAUUAACCAAAGUCAUAAUUUAAAAAUUAAAUAAUGUGAAAAGGAAAUCUAGAUAAAAGUAAUAAAACUGCACAAUUCAUAUCAGCUUAUAAUGUCUUUGUUUAAAAAUUAAUCAGAUUCAUGGUACGAAAGCCACUCAAGUAGCU
rnacentral:lncRNA from 1 species